rnacentral:rRNA from 1 species
AACGAACGCUGGCGGCAUGCCUAACACAUGCAAGUCGAACGAAGGCUUCGGCCUUAGUGGCGCACGGGUGCGUAACGCGUGGGAAUCUGCCCUUGGGUUCGGAAUAACAGCGGGAAACUGCUGCUAAUACCGGAUGAUGACGUAAGUCCAAAGAUUUAUCGCCCAAGGAUGAGCCCGCGUAGGAUUAGCUAGUUGGUGGGGUAAAGGCCCACCAAGGCGACGAUCCUUAGCAGGUCUGAGAGGAUGAUCAGCCACACUGGGACUGAGACACGGCCCAGACUCCUACGGGAGGCAGCAGUGGGGAAUAUUGGACAAUGGGCGAAAGCCUGAUCCAGCAAUGCCGCGUGAGUGAUGAAGGCCUUAGGGUUGUAAAGCUCUUUUACCCGGGAUGAUAAUGACAGUACCGGGAGAAUAAGCUCCGGCUAACUCCGUG